UGUUUGUUCUUGUUGCUGACAUAGAUUGCUAGAAGAUUGAGAUGAAAAGGAGAGAUUAAUUUGGUUGGUUGAGAAGGUUUAUGCUCUCACUAAGGAAAGAGAUACGCUUCGCCGAGAGCAGAAUAGAAAAAGUGACGCAGCUGCUCUAUUGAAGGAAAAGGAUGAAAUAAUUAAUCAAGUUAUGGCAGAAGGUGAAGAGCUUUCCAAAAAGCAGGCCACUCAAGAAUCUACAAUAAGGAAACUUAGGGCUCAAAUUAGAGAUCUUGAGGAGGAGAAAAAAGAUUUCAUGUCUUAGGGCAGAACAAACUCAAUUAAGUAGGACCCUGGAAAAGGAGAGACAAAGAGCAGCUGAAAGUAGGCAGGAAUAUCUUGCGGCAAAGGAGGAAGCUGACACUCAAAAAGGUCAUGCGAGACAGCUUGAGGAAGAGAUUAGAGACCUAAGGCAGAAACACAAGCAUGAGUUGCAUGAGGCAUUGAUUAUUCAUAACUUAGGCUUUUUUUAAAAAAUUGAAUCCUCUUGUAUAGAAUCCAUGUUGACAUAACUUAGGUUCUGAGAUUUUGUAUGAGUUAUUGUUCUGAGUAUUCUCUUAGUGUAUGGAUUGAGGAUAUGGAUUGAAGAUGUAUAUUGAUGUUGUUGUUUCAAAUUUUAUGUUGAAGCUACAAAUUAGUUUCAAGUUUAUGAAAU